GACGUAGGUGGCAAGCGUUAUCCGGAAUUAUUGGGCGUAAAGGGUGUGUAGGUGGUUAUAUAAGUCAGAAGUUAAAAUGCUGGGGCUCAAACCCAGUACCUGCUUUUGUAUACUGUAUAACUAGAGUUCAGGAGAAGAAAGUGGAAUUAUCAGAGUAGCGGUGAAAUGCGUAGAUACUGAUAGGAAGGCCAAAGACGAAGGUAGCUUUCUGGACUGAUACUGACACUGAGGCACUAAAGCUAGGGGAGCAAACAGGAUUAGAAACCCGUGUAGU
rnacentral:rRNA from 1 species